GAUGAACGCUGGCGGCGUGCCUAAUACAUGCAAGUCGAGCGAAUGGAUUGAGAGCUUGCUCUUAUGAAGUUAGCGGCGGACGGGUGAGUAACACGUGGGUAACCUGCCCAUAAGACUGGGAUAACUCCGGGGAACCGGGGCUAAUACCGGAUAACAUUUUGAACCGCAUGGUUCGAAAUUGAAAGGCGGCUUCGGCUGUCACCUAUGGAUGGACCCGCGUCGCAUUAGCUAGUUGGUGAGGUAACGGCUCACCAAGGCAACGAUGCGUAGCCGACCUGGGAGGGUGAUCGGCCACACUGGGACUGAGACACGGCCCAGACUCCUACGGGAGGCAGCAGUAGGGAAUCUUCCGCAAUGGACGAAAGUCUGACGGAGCAACGCCGCGUGAGUGAUGAAGGCUUUCGGGUCGUAAAACUCUGUUGUUAGGGAAGAACAAGUGCUAGUUGAAUAAGCUGGCACCUUGACGGUACCUAACCAGAAAGCCACGGCUAACUACGUGCCAGCAGCCGCAGUAA
rnacentral:rRNA from 1 species